CCGAGAAUAGCUCAGCGGUAGAGCGGGAGACUGUAGUUGGACUAUCGCAAGAUAGAAAUUGUUAUCUCUAGGUCCCUGGUUCAAAUCCGGGUUCUCGGA
rnacentral:tRNA from 1 species